GUUCCUGGUCCUCAGAAAUCCCUUCCUGACCUCCGAACAGGUCUGUCCCCUUUCACACAUACCCCUGCUCCCAUUAAGUUCUCCCACGCAUUGAGGCAGCUUCAGAAGAAGAACAGCAUGAAGCAACUGGGUCUAAAGUGAAUUUGACUAAUAUCCUGAAAAGGACAUAAAUAAGCCAGCUGUGAUGCAGAAAUGAGGAUCCCUACCUCAUUCAGUGCACAGGUUGUGGACCUUCUCUGGGAAUAGACCAGGGCUGUCUAGUGAAUGAUACUGUUGUUUGUAGGACCCCCUCAUAUGUUACAGAAGUUGGAAGAUCAGUUCAAAUUAGGUGAAAAAAUUGACUUCCAGGCUGAUGUCAUGCCAGCCUGACUUGUGCCUAGAAGGAAUUUAUUAAGGAGUUACAAGAUGCAGAAAAUAAGCAGCUGUAAUAUACUGUUGACUGCUUUCCCAUGUGCUUCACUACCAUGUCUA